rnacentral:rRNA from 1 species
AGUGAACGCUGGCGGUAGGCCUAACACAUGCAAGUCGAACGGCAGCACAGUAAGAGCUUGCUCUUACGGGUGGCGAGUGGCGGACGGGUGAGGAAUACAUCGGAAUCUACUUUUUCGUGGGGGAUAGCGUAGGGAAACUUACGCUAAUACCGCAUACGACCUACGGGUGAAAGCAGGGGAUCUUCGGACCUUGCGCGAUUGAAUGAGCCGAUGUCGGAUUAGCUAGUUGGCGGGGUAAAGGCCCACCAAGGCGACGAUCCGUAGCUGGUCUGAGAGGAUGAUCAGCCACACUGGAACUGAGACACGGUCCAGACUCCUACGGGAGGCAGCAGUGGGGAAUAUUGGACAAAGGGCGCAAGCCUGAUCUAGCCAUACCGCGUGGGUGAAGAAGGCCUUCGGGUUGUAAAGCCCUUUUGUUGGGAAAGAAAAGCAGCAGGUUAAUACCCCGCUGUUCUGACGGUACCCAAAGAAUAAGCACCGGCUAACUUCGUG